rnacentral:rRNA from 1 species
GACGAACGCUGGCGGCGUGCUUAACACAUGCAAGUCGAACGGAAAGGCCCUGCUUUUGUGGGGUGCUCGAGUGGCGAACGGGUGAGUAACACGUGAGUAACCUGCCCUUGACUUUGGAAUAACUUCAGGAAACUGGGGCUAAUACCGGAUAGGAGCUCCUGCUGCAUGGUGGGGGUUGGAAAGUUUCGGCGGUUGGGGAUGGACUCGCGGCUUAUCAGCUUGUUGGUGGGGUAGUGGCUUACCAAGGCUUUGACGGGUAGCCGGCCUGAGAGGGUGACCGGCCACAUUGGGACUGAGAUACGGCCCAGACUCCUACGGGAGGCAGCAGUGGGGAAUAUUGCACAAUGGGCGGAAGCCUGAUGCAGCAACGCCGCGUGCGGGAUGACGGCCUUCGGGUUGUAAACCGCUUUCGCCUGUGACGAAGCGUGAGUGACGGUAAUGGGUAAAGAAGCACCGGCUAACUACGUGCCAGCAGCCGCGGUGAUACGUAGGGUGCGAGCGUUGUCCGGAUUUAUUGGGCGUAAAGGGCUCGUAGGUGGUUGAUCGCGUCGGAAGUGUAAUCUUGGGGCUUAACCCUGAGCGUGCUUUCGAUACGGGUUGACUUGAGGAAGGUAGGGGAGAAUGGAAUUCCUGGUGGAGCGGUGGAAUGCGCAGAUAUCAGGAGGAACACCAGUGGCGAAGGCGGUUCUCUGGGCCUUUCCUGACGCUGAGGAGCGAAAGCGUGGGGAGCGAACAGGCUUAGAUACCCUGGUAGUCCACGCUGUAAACGGUGGGUACUAGGUGUGGGGUCCAUUCCACGGGUUCCGUGCCGUAGCUAACGCUUUAAGUACCCCGCCUGGGGAGUACGGCCGCAAGGCUAAAACUCAAAGGAAUUGACGGGGCCCCGCACAAGCGGCGGAGCAUGCGGAUUAAUUCGAUGCAACGCGUAGAACCUUACCUGGGUUUGACAUGGAUCGGGAGUGCUCAGAGAUGGGUGUGCCUCUUUUGGGGUCGGUUCACAGGUGGUGCAUGGCUGUCGUCAGCUCGUGUCGUGAGAUGUUGGGUUAAGUCCCGCAACGAGCGCAACCCUUGUUCACUGUUGCCAGCACGUUAUGGUGGGGACUCAGUGGAGACCGCCGGGGUCAACUCGGAGGAAGGUGGGGAUGACGUCAAGUCAUCAUGCCCCUUAUGUCCAGGGCUUCACGCAUGCUACAAUGGCUGGUACAGAGAGUGGCGAGCCUGUGAGGGUGAGCGAAUCUCGGAAAGCCGGUCUCAGUUCGGAUUGGGGUCUGCAACUCGACCUCAUGAAGUCGGAGUCGCUAGUAAUCGCAGAUCAGCAACGCUGCGGUGAAUACGUUCCCGGG